CAAACAAGACAGGCAUAGACAGAGAAGACAGUGGAGAAGAAGAGCUCCCCAAAGCAGACCCGUGUUUCUAACUUGGAAUUUUACAGAGUGCAGCCAGCAUGGUCGUCCUCAGCCUAAUUACUUCGGGAUUUUAUCUUCAGCUUUUCUUCUGCUUUGUUCUCUCUCAGACUUCGUUUGUUGACAGUGUCUUCUCAGUUUCAGCAGACCUUCCUUGCUUGGAGCAGAAGAAACGAAUGAAUAAGAGAGCAUGCUGUCUCCUUGCUCCUCCCCCACCACCAUUAUUUCCACCACCAUAUUUCAAGCACAGCUGGAAUCCUAAACAGCUGGACCUUGAUUUGAAAAACUUUGUUCAAGAACUUCAGAUAACACAAGCUUCAUGUGUACCAGAAUCCGAUUGCCCCUUAGGGCCUCCUGGCCCCCAGGGCCCUCAAGGUAUUCCUGGUAUAAUGGGACCAAAAGGAGAAAAAGGGGAGAUUGGCAGACCAGGAAGAAAGGGUAGACCAGGUCCUCCAGGUGUCCCUGGAAUGCCAGGACCAAUUGGAUGGCCUGGGCCAAUAGGACCUAAGGGUGAAAAGGGAGAUUUGGGUGUGAUGGGAUUACCAGGUACAAGAGGACCAAUGGGCUUCAAGGGUUAUCCUGGAACUAGAGGAGAAAAGGGAUCCAGAGGAGACCGGGGUGACAAAGGUGUCAGAGGAGAAAAGGGUGACAUGGGCUUCCCUGGGAUGCUGGGGCAGAAAGGAGAAAUGGGUCCAAAGGGAGAAUGUGGUACUCCAGGGCACAGAGGACCUAUUGGAAGACCAGGAAAAAGAGGCAAACAGGGAGAAAAGGGAGACACUGGACCCACUGGAAUGAUGGGUCCACCUGGCAGGCCUGGUCCUUCAGGUCAGCCUGGUCCACCAGGAUCAUCAGUGUCAGGACAAUUAGCAAUAGGACCAAAAGGGGAAAGAGGACUUCCAGGGCCUCCAGGGAGAUGUCUUUGCAAACCCCCACAAAAUGUGAACAUCCCACCAUAUGAGGAAUCCAUGUUUGGACACAAUUAUGCAAAAGUCCCUGCGAUUUUUGUGGUGAACAAUCAAGAAGAGCUAGACCGGCUGAACACUAAAAAUGCCUUAGCUUUUCGAAGAGAUCAGAGAUCGCUCUAUUUCAAGGAUACUGUUGGAUGGCUUCCAAUCCAGCUUACUCCUUUCUAUCCUGUGGAUUAUCCUGUAGAGGAUGAAAGUACCUGCGGAGAUGGGAUCAUCCAGGAUGGGGAAGAAUGUGAUGAUGGCAAUACUAUUGUGACUGAUGACUGUAUAAUUGGUCCUCUCAGUUUUGAAGGUGCUCUUCUCUGCAUUGUCCUUAGGAUGUCGUCGUGCUUACUGUGGAGAUGGCUACCGACAUGAAGGAGUAGAAGACUGUGACGGAAAAGAUUUUGGAUAUUUGACAUGUAAAACAUAUCUCCCUGGGUCUUAUGGAAAAUUACGAUGUACUUCCUAUUGUUAUAUUGACUCUACACAGUGUCGCUAUUUCACAUGAAGGAAAAAUGGCGGUGGGUAGCAUCCCACACAUAACAGGUACACCAGGUGCUACACUAUCAUCACUACAAGAAGAACUGAGACAAGUACAAAAAACCUCUGUGUGAAAAAAAUAUCAUGCUGCUGACAGCUAUUUGAAAUUUGUUUUGUUUUUGUUUUUUAAAUCGAGUCAAACUGGAAGAAAAUAGGACCACUGCAUCCUGUCUUAAUAGAAAAAUGUCAGAGUUUGCCAGUAAGAUUUGUGUUUCACAUGGUUGCAUGUGAGAACUACUCUGUAUAACAAGUGCAACAUUAAAUCACUGGAAACUGAAUUUCACUAACCAGGAAUAUUGCGCGACAAGACAACAAUACCUCGACUUAGCACUGUUAGAUCUAAUGUACACUCUUCAGGGUUUUUGUUUUUAGACUUUCUCAAUGUAAACACAAAGCAUAUCCUAGAUGCUCUGUUUGCAGAGAUUAUUUACUCUUUUACUACAAUGUGAACUUCAUAUGUGUUGUAUCGCAUGAAAGACCGCUUCAGUGACAUACAAAUUAGCUAAAAACACUCAUGGGUGGAUUCAGUAGAUGCUGUCCAGUAAGCGGUUUUAAGGGCAGCAAAUCAGGGAAAGGAACUGAUCAACGUUAUCUACAGUAUAUACAGUGGAUAAGAAGAAGAGCUGUAGAAAUGUGUGUGUGUAUAUAAAAAUGCUGAUGGAUCACACAGGGCCUACACUUGCAAGACAAAAAAAGCCAAACUGGAAGAACUAACUGGAGAAACUCCCUGUCUCAGGAGGGAUCAGGCAUGAAGAAGACAAAGAGUUAAUGCAUUUUCUUACCCUUUGUCAAGUUGGCUGUAUUGCGGGCUACUAGUGAUGCCGCAGGGACUUGAUUCUUUUAGAAUUUCCCAGGAUUACUUAAAAACUGUGGUGAAGAUUACAAUGUGGUCAUUUGCAUGUUGACUUUCACUUUAGUUUCUAUUCCAGAAACCAUUGCUCUCUCUUUUCUUUCCUUUGUUCACCUAAUCUUAAUCCCUGUUAUUUGAUCACGUUCUUCACUCUCUCCAGAUUUCCUGUUUUGUCCUAUCCAUCGCUGUCUGGUUUUAGUCUUGCCUAGUGUUCAUCACUAUUCAGUGUAUAUUCUCCUUUUUACAUCUCUGUAGAACUAGUCUCAUGGUGGUGUGUUUAUCAAUUCCCAUUCAAUCUACAUGCUGCAUAGGUUGUAUAUAUAUUUUUGUUUUAUUUUUGGAAAAAAUUGGUCAAAUGAUAUGUUAGCUCUAAUAGCAUUCAGGGUAAUUAUGUAUUUGUUUACUAGCAAGCUUUAAUGAGUGAAUGUCAUACAGGAGCAGCACUGAGUAUGCUACAUGCAACCAAAUUUAUAAUCAAAGCAAACGCUACAUACAGUGAUGUGUGCAAUUCAGGGAUAUAGGUCUCAGAAUAGUUUGUCAUUGUCAUAUUGGCCACUUGGUUCUGCUUUAUGCUAAAUACUAUACGUGAAUGUUUGAAAUGCAUGAAUCACAUGUACCAGUGACAGCACUGCAAUGGUAGUCAUAUAUACAGUUACUUCUCUAAAGGUGAUAAUGCAUUAACACAACCAACUGAUAUAUACACUUUCCCCACGUGUAGAAGACUUUGCUUUCAUUCUGCAUGCUCAUGGCAAUACUGGAAAUCACCAGUGAAAAAACUAAUAAAGGCAGUUCAUUUACUUGCUAUGGCUAUCUCUUACCUGCAUUGUUUAUGCUGCUGUGAGAUGAGACCAAUAUUGUUUGUAGUCCAGCCCACUGAUUAGAUGAUCAGUCUUCUUUAUCAUUUAUUUUUUUAAGCAGAGGAAUUAAUAAAUGAUCACCUUUUAGUUAGA